CAACGAAUAUUCCGCAAUGGGCGCAAGCCUGACGGAGCGACGCCGCGUGGGGGAUGAAGUCCUUCGGGAUGUAAACUCUAAUAGUAUGUUAGGAAGCAAGUCGACCUAACACGUCGGCAAGUUGACCGACAUACGAAAGGGGCGGCUAACUCCGUGCCAGCAGCCGCGGUAAGACGGAGGCCCCAAGCGUUGUUCGGAAUCACUGGGCUUAAAGCGCGUGUAGGCGGGACGGUAAGUACCUUGUGAAAGCCCCGGCUUCAACCCGGGAACUGCUCGGUAUACUGCCGUUCUUGAGGCAGGUAGGGGUCACUGGAACCUUAGGUGGAGCGGUGAAAUGCGUAGAUAUCGGGAGGAACGCCAGUGGCGAAGGCGGCUUUCUGGCCCAUCACUGACACUGAGGCGCGAAAGCCGGGGGAGCGAACG
rnacentral:rRNA from 1 species